rfam:Phytophthora infestans T30-4 supercont1.10 genomic scaffold, whole genome shotgun sequence.
GCGCCGUUGGGUUAUGGGUAAAAUAUCUCGUUGCCAAACGAGAUGCCCCGGUGUUCGAUUCCCGGACGGCGCA